GCCAGGUGAGGUGGCGCAUGCCUGUAAUCCUAGUGACUUGGGAGGCUGAGACAGGAGGAUUGAGAAUUGAAACCCAGUAAUUUAGUGAGGCCCUAAGCAACUCAGUGAGACCCUGUCUCUA
rnacentral:sRNA from 1 species